rnacentral:rRNA from 1 species
GUGGGGAAUAUUGGACAAUGGGCGCAAGCCUGAUCCAGCCAUGCCGCGUGAAUGAUGAAGGCCUUAGGGUUGUAAAGCUCUUUCACCGAUGAAGAUAAUGACGGUAGUCGGAGAAGAAGCCCCGGCUAACUUCGUGCCAGCAGCCGCGGUAAUACGAAGGGGGCUAGCGUUGUUCGGAUUUACUGGGCGUAAAGCGCACGUAGGCGGUUUGUUAAGUCAGGGGUGAAAUCCCGGAGCUCAACUCCGGAACUGCCUUUGAUACUGGCAAGCUAGAGUACGGAAGAGGUAAGUGGAACUCCUAGUGUAGAGGUGGAAUUCGUAGAUAUUAGGAAGAACACCAGUGGCGAAGGCGGCUUACUGGUCCGGAACUGACGCUGAGGUGCGAAAGCGUGGGGAGCAAACAGGAUUAGAUACCCGAGUAGUCC